rnacentral:rRNA from 1 species
UACAGAGGGGGCAAGCGUUGUUCGGAAUUACUGGGCGUAAAGGGCGCGUAGGCGGCCUUCUAAGUCGAACGUGAAAUCCCCGGGCUCAACCCGGGAACUGCGUCCGAGACUGGAAGGCUUGAAUCCGGGAGAGGGAUGCGGAAUUCCAGGUGUAGCGGUGAAAUGCGUAGAUAUCUGGAGGAACACCGGUGGCGAAGGCGGCAUCCUGGACCGGUACUGACGCUGAGGCGCGAAAGCGUGGGGAGCAAACAGG